GACCUACGGGAGGCAGCGGUGGGGAAUAUUGGGCAAUGGGCGCAAGCCUGACCCAGCAACGCCGCGUGAAGGAAGAAGGCCCUCGGGUUGUAAACUUCUUUUAUUCGGGACGAAACAAAUGACGGUACCGAAUGAAUAAGCCACGGCUAACUACGUGCCAGCAGCCGCGGUAAUACGUAGGUGGCAAGCGUUAUCCGGAUUUACUGGGUGUAAAGGGCGUGUAGACGGGAGAGCAAGUCA
rnacentral:rRNA from 1 species